rnacentral:rRNA from 1 species
UACGUAGGUGGCAAGCGUUGUCCGGAAUUAUUGGGCGUAAAGCGCGCGCAGGCGGUCCUUUAAGUCUGAUGUGAAAGCCCACGGCUCAACCGUUGAGGGUCAUUGGAAACUGGGGGACUUGAGUGCAGGAGAGAAAAGUGGAAUUCCACGUGUAGCGGUGAAAUGCGUAGAGAUGUGGAGGAACACCAGUGGCGAAGGCGACUUUUUGGCCUGUAACUGACGCUGAGGCGCGAAAGCGUGGGGAGCAAACAGG